rnacentral:rRNA from 1 species
UCUGACACAGGUGCUGCAUGGCUGUCGUCAGCUCGUGUCGUGAGAUGUUGGGUUAAGUCCGUAACGAGCGCACCCUACCUUUAGUUGCCAUCAGGUAAUGCUGGGGACGUCUAAAGGAACUGCCUACGCAAGUAGUGAGGAAGGCGGGGAGUGACGUCAAAUCAGCACGGCCCUUACGUCCAGGGCUACACACGUGCUACAAUGGCCGAUACAGAGGGCAGCUACCUGGUGACAGGAUGCAAAUCUCCAAAGUCGGUCUCAGUUCGGAUCGGAGUCUGCAACCCGACUCCGUGAAGUUGGAUUCGCUAGUAAUCGCGCAUCAGCCAUGGCGCGGUGAAUACGUUCCCGGGCCUU